CCUACGGGAGGCAGCAGUGAGGAAUAUUGGUCAAUGGACGCAAGUCUGAACCAGCCAUGCCGCGUGCAGGAAGACGGCUCUAUGAGUUGUAAACUGCUUUUGUACGAGGGUAAACGCAGACACGCGUAUCUGUCUGAAAGUAUCGUACGAAUAAGGAUCGGCUAACUCCGUGCCAGCAGCCGCGGUAAUACGGAGGAUUCAAGCGUUAUCCGGAUUUAUUGGGUUUAAAGGGUGCGUAGGCGGUCGGAUAAGUUAGAGGUGAAAUCCCGAGGCUCAACUUCGGAAUUGCCUCUGAUACUGGUCGGCGAGAGAGUAGUUGCGGUAGGCGGAAUGUAUGGUGUAGCGGUGAAAUGCUUAGAGAUCAUACAGAACACCGAUUGCGAAGGCAGCUUACCAAGCUACUUCUGACGUUGAGGCACGAAAGCGUGGGGAGCAAACAGGAUUAGAUACCCGAGUAGUC
rnacentral:rRNA from 1 species